UACAGAGGGGGCAAGCGUUGUUCGGAAUUACUGGGCGUAAAGGGCGCGUAGGCGGCCUUCUAAGUCGAACGUGAAAUCCCCGGGCUCAACCCGGGAACUGCGUCCGAUACUGGAAGGCUUGAAUCCGGGAGAGGGAUGCGGAAUUCCAGGUGUAGCGGUGAAAUGCGUAGAUAUCCGGAGGAACACCGGUGGCGAAGGCGGCUUCCUGGACCGAUACUGACGCUGAGGCGCGAAAGCUAGGGGAGCAAACGGG
rnacentral:rRNA from 1 species